rnacentral:misc_RNA from 1 species
CUUCAGGUCUGACAAAUAUCAGCUUAGGAAACCUUGUAGAGCAAAUGAUUACUGAAGACAUUGGAACAAGGGUGCAUGAAUAUCCCUUUCUUUAUGCUCGUAUUUUCACCUCAGUUGCUAAGUUCUCCACUGUGAUCAGCCAUGGAGUUCUUGAGCAUUAUCUCUCUGCUGCAAUCCAGGCAGUUGGCAUGGAUGUCAGGCC